rnacentral:rRNA from 1 species
CGCAAGACCGCGAGGUUUAGCAAAUCUCUUAAAGCCGUUCUCAGUUCGGAUUGUAGGCUGCAACUCGCCUACAUGAAGUCGGAAUCGCUAGUAAUCGCGGAUCAGCAUGCCGCGGUGAAUACGUUCCCGGGCCUUGUACACACCGCCCGUCACACCAUGAGAGUUUGUAACACCCAAAGCCGGUGGGGUAACCUUUUGGAGCCAGCCGUCUAAGGUGGGACAGAUGAUUGGGGUGAAGUCGUAACAAGGUACC